CCUACGGGUGGCAGCAGUGAGGAAUAUUGGUCAAUGGACGUAAGUCUGAACCAGCCAAGUCGCGUGCAGGAAGAAGGUUCUAUGGAUCGUAAACCUCUUUUAUACGAGGAUAAACGCUGAGACGUGUCCUUGUUUGUAUGUACCUUAUGAAUAAGGAUCGGCUAACUCCGUGCCAGCAGCCGCGGUAAUACGGAGGAUCCAAGCGUUAUCCGGAUUUAUUGGGUUUAAAGGGUGCGUAGGCGGUCGGAUAAGUGAGAGGUGAAAUCCCGAGGCUCAACUUCGGAAUUGCCGUUGAAACUGGUCGGCUAGAGAGUAGUUGCGGUAGGCGGAAUGUGUGGUGUAGCGGUGAAAUGCUUAGAGAUCAUGCAGAACACCGAUUGCGAAGGCAGCUUGCCAAGCUACGUCUGACGUUGAGGCACGAAAGCGUGGGGAGCAAACAGGAUUAGAUACCCGUGUAGUC
rnacentral:rRNA from 1 species